AGCGAACGCUGGCGGCAGGCCUAACACAUGCAAGUCGAACGAAGCCUUCGGGCUUAGUGGCGGACGGGUGAGUAACACGUGGGAACGUACCUUUUGGUUCGGAACAACUCAGGGAAACUUGAGCUAAUACCGGAUGAGCCCUUAGGGGGAAAGAUUUAUCGCCGAAAGAGCGGCCCGCGUUAGAUGAGCUAGUUGGUGAGGUAAAGGCUCACCAAGGCAACGAUCGAUAGCUGGUCCGAGAGGAUGAUCAGCCACACUGGGACUGAGACACGGCCCAGACUCCUGCGGGAGGCAGCAGUGGGGAAUCUUGCGCAAUGGGCGAAAGCCUGACGCAGCCAUGCCGCGUGAAUGAUGAAGGUCUUAGGAUUGUAAAAUUCUUUUACCAGGGACGAUAAUGACGGUACCUGGAGAAAAAGCCCCGGCUAACUUCGUGCCAGCCGCCGCCGUAACAC
rnacentral:rRNA from 1 species